rnacentral:rRNA from 1 species
GACGAACGCUGGCGGCGUGCUUAACACAUGCAAGUCGAACGGAAAGGCCCUGCUUUUGUGGGGUGCUCGAGUGGCGAACGGGUGAGUAACAAGUGAGUAACCUGCCCUUGACUUUGGGAUAACUUCAGGAAAAUGGGGCUAAUACCGGAUAGGAGCUCCUGCUGCAUGGUGGGGGUUGGAAAGUUUCGGCGGUUGGGGAUGGACUCGCGGCUUAUCAGCUUGUUGGUGGGGUAGUGGCUUACCAAGGCUUUGACGGGUAGCCGGCCUGAGAGGGUGACCGGCCACAUUGGGACUGAGAUACGGCCCAGACUCCUACGGGAGGCAGCAGUGGGGAAUAUUGCACAAUGGGCGGAAGCCUGAUGCAGCAACGCCGCGUGCGGGAUGACGGCCUUCGGGUUGUAAACCGCUUUCGCCUGUGACGAAGCGUGAGUGACGGUAAUGGGUAAAGAAGCACCGGCUAACUACGUG